rnacentral:rRNA from 1 species
ACGUAGGGUGCGAGCGUUGUCCGGAAUUAUUGGGCGUAAAGAGCUCGUAGGCGGCCUGUCGCGUCGGAUGUGAAAGCCCGGGGCUUAACCCCGGGUCUGCAUUCGAUACUGGCGUACUCGAGGACUGGAGAGGAGACUGGAAUUCAUGGUGUAGCAGUGAAAUGCGUAGAGAUCAUGAGGAAGACCAGUGGCGAAGGCGGGUCUCUGGACAGUUCCUGACACUGAGGCACGAAGGCCAGGGGAGCAAACGGGA